rnacentral:tRNA from 2 species
AUUUAAAUAGCUUAUUUAAUAGAGCAUAAUAUUGAAGAUAUUAAGGAGAUAACAAUGAAUCUUUAAAUA